CUGUAGAGGCGGUGGCUUGCAAAAGCCAUAGUUGACCAGCCUAAGGAACUGACUCGAAGGACAAGGGGAUGAUGUUCCUACGUUAUCCCUGUCAGGGCACUCUGGGGUGCGUCCCAAGCUCCAGACACUGCC
rnacentral:sRNA from 15 species